rnacentral:tRNA from 1 species
GUCUGAUUGGCUCUGUUGGUAGAGUAUGUGACUCUUGAUCUCAGGGUUGUGAGUUCAAGCCCCAUGUUAGAUG